rnacentral:rRNA from 1 species
UACGUAGGUGGCAAGCGUUGUCCGGAUUUAUUGGGUUUAAAGGGUGCGUAGGCGGCCUUUUAAGUCAGUGCUGAAAUACUCUAGCUUAACUAGAGGGGUGGCAUUGAUACUGAAAGGCUUGAGUGAAGUCGAGGUAGGCGGAAUUGACGGUGUAGCGGUGAAAUGCUUAGAUAUCGUCAAGAACACCGAUAGUGAAGACAGCUUACUAGACUUCAACUGACGCUGAGGCACGAAAGCCAGGGGAGCAAACGGG